UAGGGAAUCUUUCACAAUGGACGCAAGCCUGAUGGAGCAACGCCGCGUGAGUGAAGAAGGUUUUCGGAUCGUAAAGCUCUGUUGUUGGUGAAGAAGGAUAGAGGCAGUAACUGGUCUUUAUUUGACGGUAAUCAACCAGAAAGUCACGGCUAACUACGUGCCAGCAGCCGCGGUAAUACGUAGGUGGCAAGCGUUGUCCGGAUUUAUUGGGCGUAAAGCGAGCGCAGGCGGAAUGAUAAGUCUGAUGUGAAAGCCCACGGCUCAACCGUGGAACUGCAUCGGAAACUGUCAUUCUUGAGUGCAGAAGAGGAGAGUGGAAUUCCAUGUGUAGCGGUGGAAUGCGUAGAUAUAUGGAAGAACACCAGUGGCGAAGGCGGCUCUCUGGUCUGCAACUGACGCUGAGGCUCGAAAGCAUGGGUAGCGAACAGG
rnacentral:rRNA from 1 species